GAUGAACGCUGGCGGCGUGCCUAAUACAUGCAAGUCGAGCGAACAGACGAGGAGCUUGCUCCUCUGACGUUAGCGGCGGACGGGUGAGUAACACGUGGAUAACCUACCUAUAAGACUGGGAUAACUUCGGGAAACCGGAGCUAAUACCGGAUAACAUGUUGAACCGCAUGGUUCAACAGUGAAAGACGGUCUUGCUGUCACUUAUAGAUGGAUCCGCGCCGCAUUAGCUAGUUGGUAAGGUAACGGCUUACCAAGGCAACGAUGCGUAGCCGACCUGAGAGGGUGAUCGGCCACACUGGAACUGAGACACGGUCCAGACUCCUACGGGAGGCAGCAGUAGGGGAUCUUCCGCAAUGGGCGAAAGCCUGACGGAGCAACGCCGCGUGAGUGAUGAAGGUCUUCGGAUCGUAAAACUCUGUUAUUAGGGAAGAACAAAUGUGUAAGUAACUAUGCACGUCUUGACGGUACCUAAUCAGAAAGCCACGGCUAACUACGUG
rnacentral:rRNA from 1 species